rnacentral:lncRNA from 1 species
CUUGCACCAUUCUCCUCCUCCCCCGACGCCGACCCGCGGAUUCUGCUUCCUCCCCUCCCAUUUUAUCGCUCGCCUCGCCGGCGCCCGGCCCCGCUCUUGCUUCGCUGUGGAGACCGGUAAUUUCUCUUUUCUCUCAAUCAGUGCGGCAUUGCAGUUAGCCCCUGCCCUUUUCUUCUCCCAUUCACCCCCGCGGCGUCCCUACGCCAGGGGCCCAGGUGUAGCUUCGUCGGUCCCUUCGCCAGGUCUUCUCCGGCCCUUCGCCGGCGGCCGCACAGCGCCUACUAGGUAUGCGCGCCCCUCGCCCCCUCCUCCCUUUCUUCCUGCUCUGCUAAACCAGGCACCCGAACCGUAACCUGGACUAUUUGGGUAUGUGUAUUCGGAUCUGAUCUAAUUACAAGUGUUUUUUU